UUUCUUCAAAUCGUAUAAAUCUUUUGCCUUUUAUUAAAGAUUUCUAUGGAGAGG
rnacentral:snRNA from 1 species